AAACGACUCUCGGCAACGGAUAUCUCGGCUCUCGCAUCGAUGAAGAACGUAGCGAAAUGCGAUACUUGGUGUGAAUUGCAGAAUCCCGUGAACCAUCGAGUCUUUGAACGCAAGUUGCGCCCGAAGCCUUUUGGCUGAGGGCACGUCUGCCUGGGCG
rnacentral:rRNA from 7 species